rnacentral:lncRNA from 1 species
GGUCCCACGAAGUCCGCACACACUGUUGCCCAUGGCUCUUCUGGGACCUGGGUCAACAUUUUCCCAGCUGCCCGUACCUGGCAUGGUUUGAAACGCAGGCAGGUUUCGCACCUUCUCACGUAUGCCCUCAAGUCCCGGUACAUCCCUGGCCAAUAAUACCUUUCGGCAAUUCGUGCCAUGGUCUUCCGACCGCCUGCAUGCCCAGCCCCUGGGGAGUCAUGAUUCUCCCUGAGAACCUGUUCCCGUAGGUUCGUGGGGACACACAGCUUCCACGCCGCCACCUCCUCGUCUCCGGCGCGGUGGGGAAUGUUUCUGUAGAUUCCACCACCCUCCUCUACAUAAUCUGGGAAUUUUGCCGGUUCCUCCUUCAUCCUCUCCUUCACUUUUCGGAUCC